AGAGAGAGAGAUAAACCUACAUAACUCCUUCCUGAACUACGAUUGUCAAAAUAUAUAUAAACAAUGCAACAGGUAUAAGUCAGUUCAUUGCUGCUGUUUCGACGCUAAAAUCCAAUCAAAUUCUUUAAACCACGUCUUCAUCUAGCAAGUGAAGCGAAGCACGGGGCGAGGCGUGAGUCGAGAUUGCCAAAGGGAACGAACCACCACCUUUUUUCACUUUCCUCGGCUCCCUCGUCGCGUACACAGCUGGUGGAAUCCGUAGGCCCUUCAAAGGCUUAUAGUUGACUGCCGUGAUUUCCUGAGCUUGUAGGGCGGUACGGUGACGCGGGACAUUCCUACCAGUGGCCAUUGCAAUGGAAUCAGCGGACUUAUUGAAGGACCAAGGAGUAAAAGGAGCCCUGAAGUCUGCACGAAUCAACAGGACCAUUCACUUACUGUUUGGACAUCCCUCUUGCCCCUGCCCGCUUCUACGUGGUGGGGGUCGUUCUGGGCGCGGCAGAGGAUCGACGCCACCAACCCGAAGAAGACGAUGUUGGCCAGCACGAGCACCAGCACCCAGCCGUAGAGAAGCCCGGACCCCUUCCCCACCUUUCUACUACCCACCUGAGCGUCCUCCAGAUGUCGAAGCACAUCACGUUGAGCCAGAAGAAGGCCGCCAAGAUGCUCAGGUGCAUGACGAAGGCUGCGGGGGAGAGGCGGCACAGGAGUGGAAGAAGCAUAAAGGGUGAGUGAGAACAAGGAGUCAUAAGCAGUAGCAGUGUGUUCAUGAGGAAGGAGAGCAAGAUUCAUAUGGGAAGUUCAGUAUAUGAGAACCGAUGAAUGAUGAUGAUGAUAAGGGAAGCUACUCGACUCUGUGCCGAACUCUGAGUUACUGAAGAGAGUCAGACAAAGGAGAUGAGCCAAGUAAAUAUAUUGAACAUCGGCUGGUGUGCUGGGCGACACACACGGCAGAUGCCCCGCCCGCCAACAGGCAAUCAGCAGCAGCAUCCUUAUUUACUCAGCCGGGCGCCAGGGGGCUUUUUUCAUCUUGUAAGAGGGACCGCUCCUUUCACCCCUUUGUGCAAGGAAUUUCCACCCAGGCACGUGCAGGCGGCCUAUUGGAGGGAGCACAACUGGACACCAAAAAGACGGCGCCAAAAUGAAGAAUUUACCAGCACCCAUGGCAGCCUGUCACAUUUCUAAGUACAGGAACUAAAAAUGGAUUGCAAAUUCAUUACAAGUUUGUAAUGCACACGGUUCUCCAAAUGUCAAAGGCUUUUCAAUAAAGUUUGAUACAGACAAAAACUUUCAAACAAUUUAAGUAAAAAUGCUUCCAGUUUGUCUCCGGAGCCUUUUUUAGGUAUCUUCGACUUAGCACAUUUUUCAGACCUGUUUUCAUGCUACUAUUUCAGUUUUUUUACUAUUCUGUACAAUUCCAAAAACAGAUGUACCAUAAUAUGUAGGAGACUUAAAUACAAUGAUGCAAACAAAUAUUGAGGAGUGAAGAAAUGGCAAAUAUUAAAGAGUUUGUCAUGUUAUUACCAAAAUUAUGCUUUAAGAGAUCAGUUUCGAAUACAAAGUUUUAGUUCCUCUCCAUUCUUGAAACGUGGCUGCUUUUCCUGCCUGACAAAAAUUGAGAAAACUUUUUGCUAGUUAUCAAAGAACUUAGAAAUGGUAAGAUAGGACAUACGGUAUUCGAUGAUGCAAAUCCUUGGAGUGUAGCAUCUUACCAUUUAUAAAACCUUUGUUAUACUAGCAAUGAUCUUAUAAUUGGUAAGGUGCAUCACUCCAAGGCUUCCCAUUAUAAUCAGUCGACGGGGGCACAACGAAACAGCCGAGUGUGUCAGAUUCUCUCCUUCCUACCGUGAUUGGUGCCCCUUACCAUUUACAGGACCUUUGUUGUUACUCUAAAUGAGGGAAGACUUUACCCUCUAGAGGUUUUGUCUUAUGCUCCUAUCACUGCUACUGGAGGCUUGAAAUAUCAGUUCAUUAAAUAUAUUACCUGUAUGAACUGUGAGAAAUCAG